GACGAACGCUGGCGGCGUGCUUAACACAUGCAAGUCGAACGGAAAGGCCCUGCUUUUGUGGGGUGCUUGAGUGGCGAACGGGUGAGUAACACGUGAGUAACCUGCCCUUGACUUUGGGAUAACUUCAGGAAACUGGGGCUAAUACCGGAUAGGAGCUCCUGCUGCAUGGUGGGGGUUGGAAAGUUUCGGCGGGUGGGGAUGGACUCGCGGCUUAUCAGCUUGUUGGUGGGGUAGUGGCUUACCAAGGCUUUGACGGGUAGCCGGCCUGAGAGGGUGACCGGCCACAGUGGGACUGCGAUACGGACCAGAAUGCUACGGGAGGCAGCAGUGGGGGAUAUUGCACAAUGGGCGGAAGCCUGAUGCAGCAACGCCGCGUGCGGGAUGACGGGCUUCGGGUUGUAAACCGAUUUCGCCUGUGACGAAGCGUGAGUGACGGUAAUGGGUAAAGAAGCACCGGCUAACUACGUG
rnacentral:rRNA from 1 species